CAGACUGGAGCGGUGAAGGUGCUGAAGGUGUCUACGGCCACUGGCUUUGAUGUGUCAAGUCAGCAGGAAUAAAAAACCGCAUCUUCACCUCUCCAGUUUGC